rnacentral:misc_RNA from 1 species
AACCCACUCAAGCCCGGCUUGGUCUUGGGCGCCGGGGAACCCUCCCCGCGCCCCAAUGUCGUAGCAGGACGUAACUCGUCUCCCAGCGUUCGACGAAACAUACCGUUGGUCGAGAGGGGCGCCCGCGCUUUGCACCACAUUUUAAUCA